UCCUGUAGAAAACUUCCCAGUGGGGGCCAAAAUGAGCUUCCCACUCCUCUUCAGUGCUGUAAUGGGGCAGAUACUGUUUGAUCCCAAGGAAAGCGAUCAGGUAGAAAACGUCAUCAUCGGGUGUGAUCAAGGACGUUCCAGAUUUCCACCUGAAAUUGGAAAUAUAAUUAGGGCAUCAGACAAUACUUUUUUCUUCUUAUUACCUAUUAAUUUUGUUAUAGAAUUGAUACCUUGCUUUGUUGACGGGGUAGAUGAGGACGGGGCCACUGCUUGUGUCUUUUACUAUGUUACCAAAAACUUCUGCGACGAACUCAUGAAUUCGGCUUUGUGGAACAAGAAGGUUCAGCCAUGGGUGUGGCACCUCCCAGAGGCCUUCCUCCCGGAGUUUUACUUCAGACACGUGUACUCUGUCGAGGAAAUUGACAUAGGAAACCUCCGACAUGAAGAGAGUGGACCGUAUAUAGCUCAGUUCUGACAAGAGAGUGUCAAUAUCCUGCAUAACAGGCAGCAGGUCUAAAGAUUUUAGCAGGCUCUGGUAUACUUUCAACAACCUGAGUUAGAUAGCAUGGUACAGAUUCUCACCUGAUCUAUGUUGUCCGACUCUCGAGGAUUGUAGUACUUGGCUACUUCCAGGCAGAACAGAAGCUUCCCGUCAGAGUUGAACUGGUCUGCUCGAAUUGGAUCCUUGGGACUGAAAGAUGAUCUCCAGUUGUUUAACAAGCCAGUUCUAUUUAUGAUGAUGAAUCCUUCUACAUAGUCAAAAGAAUUAUUCAAAGAUAUCAGAUGCUCCUGGUCACUGGCGAAUGUUGAGAAAUCUGAAUAUAGUGCUCUGAUCCAUUUAACCUGCAAGGAAAACUGUGCUCUAAGGCGAUUCUUGCUUGGGUAAUAAUGCCGAACUGUCCUAGACCGCCUAGCACGGCGUAGAAGAGAUCAGUGUUUUGCUCGUCCGAACAUGUCACUACUUCUCCUCUACCUGCACAAAGUAAAUUCAGGUUAUUAGAUGGUCUUCUCAAAUUUUGGUAUGCAUUUUGCUACAUGUGAUGGUGAUAUAACCUGUGACAACUUGGAGUUGGUAGACAUUGUUAAUCUGUGGUCCGUGUCGGAAAGCCUGGCCACUUAUUCCGGCAUUUGACAAGGUGCCACCAACGCUCCCCAGCAGAAACGUCGACAUAGGGGUGUUUUCCGCCAUGGAAGCUCAUCUCCGGGGCACGCAGGGACUCCAUGCUGAUCACAACUCCCCGAUAUGCCUGCGCCUGGCCUUCCAGCGAGUGGCCGUGGCCCCGUGCAGCAACCUUGAGCUCUGAACUCAGGCCCAAGUCAUAGACAUAUCUCAGGAUGGACGAAAUGUCAGAAACUGAUUUCGGGUGCAAGACCGCAGAUGGCAUGAGAUGGUAUCUGUUUCCGAAAUCCCUUGCUGCAAAUUCCAGGUUCUCAAAAGAUAUGUGCCCCUCAAACCUCAUCUCGGCCAGGGACGAAUGCGCAAUAGAUUCAAUGGUUUGAGGGGUGGCAAAAGGGUGAUUAGAACAAAGAUAUUCUCUAUUGAUCAUGAAGCUAUGCAAGAAAACUAAUAUAAGAAGUGCUCUGGUUUUCUGUCUUAUGAAGGUGAGGCACUCUCCAAAAACCAUCUCGUAUUUUUCGAGACCGGGAGCACAAUGUAGACAGGUGAGAGUGGUGUAGUAAAAAAAAUAUGACUGCGUUCGAGUGUGAAAGCUCGAGGCAGCCCCCGUAUAUUCAUGUUUAGGUCUUAGCUUCUUUUGGAAAUGGUGUAUAGCUAGUGAUGACGACAUGUGAAUCUGUCCCUUGCCAAAUCAAGAUGGGUGAAGAUCGAGCAUGCUUACCACCCAUUUCUGGUGGGACAAAGGAUCACGUUUUUUAAAGAAAGUCUCUCUUUGAGCAGACUGGGCAGCCGGGGGGGCUUCGAGAUUCGUGCCACGGGCUGAGUCUGGGGCCAGGGAGGUGUUCGCGUGGCGUGAUGGCAAUGCUUGUGGGUAGGGGCCUGGGCUCAGCACAGAAUAAAAUGGGAAAGUGGUAGAUGACAGUUUGAAUUGGAGAGACAGUCGGUUAAAAGAAGGUUAGGUCUAGAUCAUUCCCCACAACCUAGUACCACUUCCAACUCUUUGCAAUUAUUGUUCUCUUCAUUUUCUACA